rnacentral:rRNA from 1 species
AUUGAACGCUGGCGGCAGGCUUAACACAUGCAAGUCGAGCGCGCGGCGGACGGGGGAGUAAUGUCUGGGAAACUGCCUGCUGGAGGGGGAUAACUACUGGAAACGGUAGCUAUUACCGCAUACCAUCAGAUGUGCCCCGAUGGGAUUAGCUAGUAGGUGGGGUAAUGGCUCACCUAGGCGACGAUCCCUAGCUGGUCUGAGAGGAUGACCAGCCACACUGGAACUGAGACACGGUCCAGACUCCUACGGGAGGCAGCAGUGGGGAAUAUUGCACAAUGGGGGAAAGCCUGAUGCAGCCAUGCCGCGUGUGUGAAGAAGGCCUUCGGGUUGUAAAGCACUUUCAGCGAGGAGGCGUUACUCGCAGAAGAAGCACCGGCUAACUCCGUGCCAGCAGCCGCGGUAAUUC